rnacentral:misc_RNA from 1 species
UCUCCGUUGGUGAACCAGCGGAGGGAUCAUUACCGAGUUUACAACUCCAAAACCCAAUGUGAACGUUACCAAACUGUUGCCUCGGCGGGAUCUCUGCCCCGGGUGCGUCGCAGCCCCGGACCAAGGCGCCCGCCGGAGGACCAACCAAAACUCUUAUUGUAUACCCCCUCGCGGGUUUUUUUUUAUAAUCUGAGCCUUCUCGGCGCCUCUCGUAGGCGUUUCGAAAAUGAAUCAAAACUUUCAACAACGGAUCUCUUGGUUCUG